rfam:Mycobacterium kansasii 824 gmk824.contig.0, whole genome shotgun sequence.
GGUCAUGAGCGCCAGCGUCAAGCCCGGCUUGCUGGCCGGCAACCCUCCAACCGCGGUGGGGUGCCCGGGUGAUGACCCGGUUGAGUAGCCACAAUCGGCUACACGGCAAGCGCGGGUC